rnacentral:rRNA from 1 species
AUUGAACGCUGGCGGCAUGCCUUACACAUGCAAGUCGAACGGCAGCACGGGUGCUUGCACCUGGUGGCGAGUGGCGAACGGGUGAGUAAUACAUCGGAACAUGUCCUGCAGUGGGGGAUAGCCCGGCGAAAGCCGGAUUAAUACCGCAUACGAUCUACGGAUGAAAGCGGGGGACCUUCGGGCCUCGCGCUAUAGGGUUGGCCGAUAGCUGAUUAGCUAGUUGGUGGGGUAAAGGCCUACCAAGGCGACGAUCAGUAGCUGGUCUGAGAGGACGACCAGCCACACUGGGACUGAGACACGGCCCAGACUCCUACGGGAGGCAGCAGUGGGGAAUUUUGGACAAUGGGCGAAAGCCUGAUCCAGCAAUGCCGCGUGUGUGAAGAAGGCCUUCGGGUUGUAAAGCACUUUUGUCCGGAAAGAAAUCCUUGGCUCUAAUACAGUCGGGGGAUGACGGUACCGGAAGAAUAAGCACCGGCUAACUACGUG